rnacentral:rRNA from 1 species
UACGAAGGGGGCUAGCGUUGCUCGGAAUUACUGGGCGUAAAGGGCGCGUAGGCGGUUUGUACAGUCAGGUGUGAAAUUCCCGGGCUCAACCUGGGGGCUGCACUUGAUACGUAUGGACUGGAGUGGGGAAGAGGGUCGUGGAAUUCCCAGUGUAGAGGUGAAAUUCGUAGAUAUUGGGAAGAACACCGGUGGCGAAGGCGUCGACCUGGUCCUUGACUGACGCUGAGGCGCGAAAGCGUGGGGAGCAAACAGG